UACGUAGGCAGCAAGCGUUGUUCGGAAUUAGCUGGGCGUAAAGAGUGCGUAGGCGGUGCUCUAAGUCUGUCGUGAAAUCUCCCGGCUCAACUGGGAGGGUGCGGCGGAAACUGGAGUGCUCGAGUGUGGGAGAGGUAAGCGGAAUUCCUGGUGUAGCGGUGAAAUGCGUAGAUAUCAGGAGGAACACCUGUGGUGUAGACAGCUUACUGGACCACGACUGACGCUGAGGCACGAAAAGCGUGGGUAGGCAAACAGG
rnacentral:rRNA from 1 species